CCCAUGGCUCUAUCUUUGUCUUCCACAAUACUUAUUAUUUCUUUUUCUGUUUUUGUGCUCGCCGGAGAUGCCAUGCGAGACAUGCCUGAAGAAGUGUCGAUGACGAACAUGGAACUCAGCAAUAAUACAGACGGUACCUGAUUAAAGUGGCAAAUUAUAAGCGGAUUUUGGUUAAAUUUCAUUGGGCUGGUGAAUGUUUUAGAGAUACCACUGGUUGGUGGUCAAAAAAUUGGGAUUUGUCCGUUGGCUGGCUUUUUACUGAGACUAAAGACCCAAAAAGCUUCAAAUGCUCAGAUUCUUAUGAAUUUAGAGCAGGAGAUCUAGUCAUAUUAACGAGCACAUUCUACACCCGUAUAACAAAUCCACAUAAAACAAUGUUUUUUUCAACAGAUGAACAAAAACGCCAAAUACAUGCAAACGGAAUUGGCGUUUACUUGAAGAGUUCGUCUGUAACCAAAGACGACAAAAAUGAACACGACCUUCUGAACCAGUUGGUGGAGAUGAUAUGAAAAUGCUCGUCGUGUUUGCUACAAAUUCAACGUAAUUGGCUGUUUAAUAAUAAAAGGCUUGUACGGCUUAAGUUAUGUAUUGUUGUUUCAAUAAAUUAAGCUUCGUUUCGAUUUUCCAAUUUGGAACAAAAUAUUAAAAGAGUUUAAAUUUGUGGCUUUGAAGAAAAAAAAGCUUAACUUGUCAAUAUUGGGAAAGUAACCAUCUUUGAUCGUCAAGUUU